ACACCUCACAGCAUACAUACACACACAAUAUCCACGCACAGGACCAGAAUAUUCACGCAUCAUCCUCAUCGGAACUCCAUUCUUCACACACAUCUAUCACCGAACAUACAAACCCAAUAAUAAAAAAAUGAUAGAAUUUAGGGAGGAAGAGAAUCGGAACGGAGAGCAACACAGUGAAGAAAAAGAGCGAAAUCGAGGAACUGAAAUAGAGAAGUAAAUCGAAAGGGAGAAAGAGAUCGAGGGAGGGAGAACAAAAGGAGGAUCAUCUUCUUCCUUUUUCCAAGGAAGAAGCUCCAUUUUUGGGUUUCAUUUUUGAUUCAUCAAGAACAAUACACACACACUACAUAGUAAAGGAGGGAAAGGAAAUUUGAACGAGAGUGAAUCGAGAGAAGAUAAACAAAGAGAGGGAUGACAGGAAAAUGAUGUGAGAGAUAGAGAUCGGGGUGACCGAAGAAGGAGAAAUUGAGACAGAUCGAAGAAAGAGAGAGUGAAAAUAAGAAGAGAGAGAGAGAACUGGUGGUGGUAGACUGUUCCGGCGAUUCGCCGCCGGAAAAAGUGUCAUCGCAGCUCAAAAUUUGAUCCAAUUUUUUUAGUUCUAUUCCUUCUGAUCUCGUCAGAGUUCGUCAGCUCCGUCCCAUUUCGGGUAACGCUGAAACGGACGACCCAGGUCAUAAAUCCCAAAAUUUUCCAAUUUUUUUGGUGGUUUCUAGGCUAACCCGGCCGGAAAACACUAGAAGUCACCGGAAUCAGCCUUUCUCGUUGACAUUCGCGACUGUUCGAGUUCAUCAAAACUCCGGGCAUGUAGUUUUCUUGGUUUUCUUGUGAUUCUCAUUUUUUUGGGUUCACUGUUCGUCGUGGUUUCAGGAAUUCGAAUUGGAUUUUGAAGACUAUCAGGUUGGAGUUGGAUCAUAGUUGAGAUUGUGGUAUUCUUCGAGGCUCCAGGACGGCUCUUAUUUCUCUUCUUAAAUCAAUCAAAAUCUUUUGAGGUCUAAUUCUAUUCUUUUCCUCUUUUAUUUCUCAUUGUUUACUAUAUUUGAUGUGUUGGACUUAAUAUCGUGUGUUGACUUGAUCCCUGUUGGUGAUGAAUGUAUGUUUGUUUUGAUUCUUGGUUGGUCCCUUGAUUAUGGUUUGUAUGGUGAAAUGGUCUCUCGUUUGAGAAAUAAAAUUUGUUAUUUGGGGCGCGAAUUGAAAAAAUUGCUAAAGUGAAUUAGGAUUAAUUUUGAUUUAUUGUUGUUUUGAUUCAUGGACGCCGUCGAUCGUGAUAGUGCCAUGAUAGGUCAAGUUGGGUAGGCAAACAGUAGGCUUGGGUAGGCAAAGUUUAGUAUCUGUGAUUGUUGAAUGAUGAAAUAUUUGUGGAGUGGUUUUGAUUUAUGCAUUGAGAUCUAUUGUAUUCAUUUGGCCGGGGAAUGUCCUGAGAGAUUUGUAUUCAUUUAUCCGAGGAAUGCCCCGAAGUAUCAUGUGCUUGAAGACGGCGCACGAUCAAGGCCCGGAACGUUGGGUGGAGAAAGCAAUGGAGCGUAGUUAGGAUUAGCCUAGAAUAGAGUAGGUUUAUAUUUCCGUAUCUUUUUAUUUCGAGACUGUAUAAUUGGACUGAACACUAAAUUUUGGAUUGUUUUAUUUUGUUUUGCUUGAUUGAUUGUUUUGUGUGCCUUGUGUGGUUUAUACAUUCGUAGUGUCAAAUUAGCCGAUAUGCUCCACCAAACGACCGUAGUCUAACCACGGGAUCAAGGGGUGCCUAACACCUUCCCCUCAGUCAACAGAAUUCCUUAGUCGGAAUCUCCGUUCGCAAAUUAGUUUUACAGAGUCGAAAUUAUUUUUGAAAAAGGAUGUCCAUAGGUGACUUGGCACACCCGAUUUAUGCUAAGUGGCGACUCUGAGUUUUGAGUGUAAAUAAUCCUUUUCGAAAAUAAUUUUCAUCUUUCGUCACUUUAAUAAUAAAACCCUUUCGAACCAUGAAAUUAAUCUUUUGGAGUACGAAAAAGGGGUGUGACACUACUAUAUUUUGAAUUUAAUAUUCCGAAUUUUGUACGGAUUUAAAUUUAAUAAAAUUGCAUCGCCCACAAAUGCCUUCUACUUCAAGACUUGUCGACACAUUUAAUAUUUUGGAGACUAGCCUUGAAGUAUGAUUAUUUAAGCAUGUUUCCUUUGUGUUUCAACGAUCCUCAUACCUAUGAAUACCACAUUCAAAAAUUUAAAGUCGAACUAUAUUGAUAUUGCCUCUCAUAACUCUCUCAUUUUUUCUACGAAUCUCUACACUUAAGACCCAUUGGUGAGGCAUGAUAUUCAAUUUCAAACAGAUUUUCGAAGACUUUUUUAUCGCCUUACUUAAUCAUGAAUAAAAAUCUUCCGAUUUGAACUUAGAUUGGAGAAGGAAACAACCUCCAAUUUGGCUUUGUAUGGGAGAAAGAAACAAUCUUUGAUUUGAAUUUGUAUGGAAGAAGGAAAUAACCCCCAAUUUGAAUUUGUAUGGGAAAAGAAAANNNNNNNNNNNNNNNNNNNNNNNNNNNNNNNNNNNNNNNNNNNNNNNNNNNNNNNNNNNNNNNNNCAUCGCCCACAAAUGCCCCCUACUUCAAGACUUGUCGAGACAUUUAAUAUUUUGGAGACUAGCCUUGAAGUAUAAUUAUUUAAGCAUGUUUCCUUCAUGUUUCAACGAUCCUUAUAUCUAUAAAUACCACAUUCAAAAAUUUAAAGCCGAACCAUAUUGAUAUUGCCUCUCAUAACUCUCUCAUUUUUUCUACGAAUCUCUACACUUAAGACCCAUUGGUGAGGCAUGAUAUUCAAUUUCAAACAGAUUUUCGAAGACUUUUUUAUCGCCUUACUUAAUCAUGAAUAAAAAUCUUCCGAUUUGAACUUAGAUUGGAGAAGGAAACAACCUCCAAUUUGGCUUUGUAUGGGAGAAAGAAACAAUCUUUGAUUUGAAUUUGUAUGGAAGAAGGAAAUAACCCCCAAUUUGAAUUUGUAUGGGAAAAGAAAAAAAUCCCCAAUUUGAAUUUGUAUGGGAAAAGAAAACAAUCUCUAAUUUGAAUUUAGGGAUAGAAAUUAUUUCAAUCUGAAUUUAAAUUGGAGAAGAAAACAAUCUCCAAUUUGAAUUUAGAGAUGAAAACUAUUCCAAUCUGAAUUUAUAUUGGAGAAGGAAACAAUCUCCAAUUUGAAUUUGGAGAUGGAAAUUAUUCCAAUCUGAAUUUAUAUUGAAAAAGGAAACAAUCUCCAAUUUGAAUUUGGAGAUUGAAAUUAUUCCAAUCUGAAUUUAUAUUGGAGAAGGAAACAUCCAUCCUACAAAUCUAUAAAAGGAGGUAGUUUCUCUACUUUUUCAAUAUCAAUUUUGGGGUUUUCAAGCCAUCAACAAUAUUGAGGUAAUUUCUUUUCCUCCUACUUUUCUCUUAUUUUCGUCACUUUUUUUUCAGCACAGCAUGUUGGUGGUAGAAAAUUCAUAUCUAAUUGUAGGAAUAUCGAAAUCAUGAACCGUUUGAUAUUACAGAAACUAGACUUCAAGAUAUAUAACAUAUCCAAAAUUCAGCUUCAAAUUCUUUCAAUAUAAUUCUCGAUAAUUUUUUGAAGUUAGCCCUGAAUUUUAUCAUGAUAAAAAUUUCAGAUCUGCGUGACUUUACUAAACCUUUCAUAUCUUGAAGUAGAAAAGAUGAAAUCACAAGCUGCUUAAUUCUUGUGAAACUAGACACAAAGAUCUAUAAUAUAUCCAAAAUUCAUAAUUUAAUACAAUUGAAAUAUUUUCAGGUGUUAUCCCAAAAUUAACAUUGAGUUUUGAUGCAUCAACAAUUUCAGAUUUACGCGACAUCAUCAAAAAAAUUAUAUCUCAAUGUGAGAGUAUUGAAAUUAUGAUCCGCUUAAUCCUACAGAUGCCGGAAACAUGCAUGUAUAACAUAUCAAAAAUUUAGAUUUUAACACCUUUUUUAUUGGUCUAGAUGAUUUUUUUGAUGUCCAUCUUGACAGAGGAUUCCAGAUUUGCAUUGCCUCACCAAAUAAUUUAUUUCUUGAUGUGGGACCAUCACCACCAAAGGGCGUUUUUAUUUCCUCAAACCAGAUUUUGAGGAAUUUAUUCUCAUCAAGGCAUCUUAUCUCAAUCGAAGUUGGUGAUAUACAACUUUUAAGAUCACAACGCUUUGAUAGGUAACAUCCUUUCUAUUUGUAUUUUUGCUUUCUUUCUUGUUUCUUCUCUUUUUUUUUUUUUUGGAGAAUUGAAACAGAUAGCAAUAUGAAAUAAUCGGCUUAGGGUGCGAGAGUUUAACUUCGCCUCCAUCGUGGACAUCGGCUUAAGGUGCGAGAGUUUAACUUCGCCUCCAUCACCUUAAGUCCGACCAAUUUUACUUGAAGAUGGUGGACAUCGGCUUAAGGUGCGAGAGUUUAACUUCGCCUCCGUUACCUUAAGUCCGACCAAUUUUACUUGAAGAUGGUGGACAUCGGCUUAAGGUGCGAGAGUUUAACUUUGCCUCAGUCACCUUAAGUUCGACCAAUUUUAUUUGAAGAUGUUGGACAUCGACUUAAGGUGCGAGAGUUUAACUUCGCCUCUGUCACCUUAAGUCCGACCAAUUUUACUUGAAGAUGGUUCAGUGAUUUUCUUUAAGUAUGAGUCCUUUUCAAUGUUCAGCUUAAGGUGCAAAGGGAUAAAUCUUGUCCACCUUAAGACAUGAAAAUUGCGAUAUCCUUUUAAGGAUAAAUCUAUGAGAGGCCAGCUUAAGGUGCAAAGGGACAAAUUUUGUCCACCUUAAGGCAUGAAAAUUUUGAGAUCCUUUUAAGGAUAAACCUGUUAGAGGCCAGCUUAAGGUGAAAAGGGACAAAUUUUGUCCACCUUAAGGCAUGGAAAUUUUGAGAUCCUUGUAAGGAUAAACCCGCGAGAGGCCAGCUUAAGGUGCAAAGGGACAAAUUUUGUCCACCUUAAGGCAUGGAACUUUUGAGAUCCUUUUAAGGAUAAACCCGCGAGAGGCCAGCUUAAGGUGCAAAGGGACAAAUUUUGUCCACCUUAAGGCAUGGAACUUUUGAGAUCCUUUUAAGGAUAAACCCGCGAGAGGUCAGCUUAAGGUGCAAAGGAACAAAUUUUGUCCACUUUAAGGCAUGGAACUUUUGAGAUCCUUUUAAGGAUAAACCCACGAGAGGCCAGCUUAAGGUGCAAAGGGACAAAUUUUGUCCACCUUAAGGCAUGGAACUGGAUAAACCCACGAGAGGGCAUCUUAAGGUGCAAAGGGACAAAUUUUGUCUACCUUAAGGCAUGGAAAUUUUGAGAUCCUUUUAAGGAUAAACCUGUUAGAGACCUUGAUUUGAAGACAUGGAAAUUUUGUCAACUUUCACUCCCAAAUUUGGCAUUUUAAGUGGUUCAACUUCCAAAUUUAGGAAUUUUAGAGACUUUAUCUUGUGUAAAUAAAGCUCAUAUUUCAUUAGUGUUUUCCCCCCAUUGAGCCAUCAAUACAUGGAGUGAGUCCAAAAUUGAAUUAGAAUGUUCUCAUACUUGGUAUCCAUACGGUAGAUACUGCAGGAACAUAUUUUUUUUAACACUCAUGCAACUGAACUCAGAAUAAAAUUCUAAGCGCCUACGUACCUCAAUUAAGAGGAUCAAGUCACAACGUAGUUCCGGGUGAGUGUUUUAUAUAUAUAUAUAUAUAUAUAUAUUUAUUGUGUCCUAAGUUUUGCCUAGGCCGCCUCUUUCGAGGUUUUCAACCUAGCGGACUUUUAUUUUGUUUAGCCGUACACAGCUUAUACUCUUGCGGGCCAGGAGUGGACAUGCAGUUUAUACUCGUGCCUUAAGGAGUGUACAUGAAGUUUAUACUCGUGCCUUAAGGAGUGUAUAUGCAGUUUAUACUCGUGCCUUAAGAAGUGUACAUGCAGUUUAUACUCGUGCCUUAAGGAGUGUCAUCUUCCUUCAGGGAUAGUACUUCUUCAAGAACAUGGCGUUGAUGGGUCCAACCCUCAUGCCAUCUGCAUCGAAAAACUUGUAAGCAUCAUUUAAAUAUGCCUCUUGUACGACAUAUGGUCCAUCCCACUUUGAGGUCAAUUUGCCCCCAGACUUAUGAGAAAUGAUAAUGGGCUUUCUUACUACAAGGAUUUAAUCUCCAACUUGGAAGCACCUCAAGUGAACCCUUUUGUUGAAAAAACGAGAUAACCGGGCUUGAUAGCAUUCAAGAUUUUACUGAGACUCCAGCCUCUUCUCAUCAAGAGCUUCUAACUCUGCAAGAUGCAACUUAGCAUUUUCUUCAUCGGUGAGCCCUUCUUGAAUAGCCAGUCUCAAAGAAGGUAUUUGACGCUCAAGUGGAAGGACUGCUUCAACUCCAAAAGCAAGUGAGUGUGGAGUUGCUUACGUUGGUGUAUUGUAAGUUGUCCUAUACGCCCAUAAAGAUUCUUCCAUUCGCUCAUGUCAGUCUCGUUUGGAUUUGGAGACGACUUUCUUCAACAAGUUGCAUAAAGUCUUAUUGAAGGCUUCAGCUAGACCGUUGGCGGCAGCAUGGUACAUAGAAAACUUGUGCUGCUUGAAGCCAAAGAGAUCACAAAUCUUAUUCAUCAGUUUGUUAUCAAACAGAUUGCUAUUGUCAGUUAUUAUAUAUUGAGGGAUUCCAAAGCGGUAGACGAUAUUCACUCGGAUGAAGUUCGCAACAUUUUCUUUCUUUACUUCCUUAAGAGCAACAGCUUCAGCCCAUUUUGCGAAGUAAUCUAUUGUGGCCAAGAUGUAUAAGUGUCCACCAGAAGACUUUGGUAGUGGACCAACAACAUCCAUUCCCCAAGCAUUGAAUGGCCAAGACGUUAUAGUUGGAAGUAGUACCUCUGGAGGUUGAUGUGUGAAAUUUGCGUGGAAUUGGCAAGCUUUGCAUCUUCUAGCAUAGUCCAAGUAAUGUUUCACCAUCGUUGGCCAAUAAUAUCCCAUCAUUUUAAUAUAAAAAUGGACCUUUGGUCCAGACUGAUGUGAUCCACAAACUCCCGAGUGCUCUUUUUGCAAAGCUUAAAUUGCUUCUUCCUCUCCCAAAUAUCGUAAGAGUACUUCUUCAAAUGAUCUUCUGUACAGUGUGUCUUUGUAGUAUAGAAAGCGAGGUGAACGACGACGAAUGUCAGUCUUUCUCCUUGGAUUUUUUGAAAUUAUCCCAUAACAUAAGUAAUCAAUGAUAGGUUGUCGCCAAUCUUCUUUUACAGAUUCAGACACAACAACGAGGUAUUCAACUUUGUUUUCCAUAUCCUCAUCUGAAGGUGGUACUACCCAUUCUUGGCGGAUAAUAACUUGGGUCCGAUUUGGAAGAGUCAAGGUUAAGGCCAGAGCAGCUAGGGCAUCAGCUUGCUUAUUUUCUCUUCUUGGCACAGGUUGGAGGGUUAAUCCUCUAAGCCACCCCAUCCACUUUUGUGCAUAAUCAUGAUAUGGUCGUAGCUAAGGCUUUCUGACUUCAUAUCUUUCUGAGAGCUGCUUGAUCACCAAUUGGGAGUCACCAAAUACUCGUAAUUGCAGUUGUUUCAUGUCAACUGCCAUCUCAAGUUCAAGUAUUAAAGCUUGAUAUUCAGCAACAUUAUUAGAGCAACGAUUUGUUAGGGUAAAAGAGUAUGGGAUGACCUCUUCUUGUGGAGUGACGAACACCACACCGGCUGUAACACCCCGUACUUAAUUACGUGCAUUAGUCAUUGUUAUAUGUGUUGGAGUAUAUGUAUUGAUCCUAAGUUAGGUAUAUAUGAGUUUAAGUAUGAGUAUUGAUUAUUUUGAGAUGGUUUCAAGUGUAUAGUUUGAUUAUAGGUGUAUAGGAAUCGACUUUAUUUAUACCGGAAUUUUCCCGUCGAUGGUUCCAUACGAAGGUUAUUGAAUAAUCUUUCCAACGAUAUAAAUAUUUCCAAAAACGGAUAAGUUUCGGAUAUAAGCGAGCUCGUUCGAAACUUUAAAACGGUGGCCGGGAUGUGAACAGUAAAUGUGCAGGAAAACUACUGAGGCCUGCCAGUUUUUUGGGUAAACUUUGAACAAUCAUAACUCCCUCAAUAUAAUGAACUGGGAGAGCUACCACAUAUCAAAAGAAAGAUCUCUGAGUUUUCUUUCCAAUGCAAUUGGUUUCAUCCAAAUCCAACAUCUGAGGAAGGAGUUAUACUCGUUUUACUUCAGCCUCUCAAAACAGAUUUUUAGGGUCAACUUCAAACGAUCAUAACUACUUGUACAGGACGAACUGGGUCGAUUACUUUAUAUCAAAUGAAAGACCUUUGAAUUAUCUUUCUAACGAUACCAAUUUCACCCAAAUCCGAUAUCGGAGCAAAGAGUUAUGGCCGAUUUACUUUAGCCUAUCAAAACAGUCCACCAUGGACAGAUUCGGAUUUACUUAAAUUUUUAAGGGCAAUAUGGUCAUUUUCCAUCACCUCUUGAACGAAAAUUGGUCAUUAUAUACAUAUAAUUAGUCUCAUAUCCAUCAAUUAUCAUCAAGUUAUUGAAACUAAGAAACCCUAGCCAAAUUUCAACUCCAAUUAUCUUGUGAUUCAACCGUAGAAAAUCCAAAUUGAUUCCGUAGUUGUGUUCACCGUCUCAAGGGCUUCGAGAAGCACCCCUUAUUUGUGCCAACAGGACUUCGAAAUCAAAAGGGCCAUUUUUUUGGUAAGGAUGUAAAUUAUGUUGGUGUUAUUUAUAUGGAUAUGUAUAUAUAUAUAUAUGCAUGUGAGCAUAAGAAGUAUGUUAUUUGAUUGUUGUUGAAAGAUGAUUGGAAAUGAUGUUGGAUUAUUCUUGUGCAUGGUUGGAUUAUGUUAAAUUGUGAAGGAAUUUGGGGUGAUGAUGUGGUAUUGAUGAUGUGGUAUUGAAAUGAUGAUUAUAUAUAUAUACACACAUAAACCUAUUGUUCAAGUUGGUUUUUGGAAUGUUUUGCAAAUAUUGGUAGUAUGGAAUUAUGGAAGAGAAUUGUGGUGUUGGGUUGCUAAUACUAGAUGCCAAACAUUUCAUUGUAGAUAAGUGAUUUGUAAAGGCGGGAAGUUGUGUUGAAUUGGUAUCUGAAUCUACAACGAGGUAUGUAAAGCAUACUCUAACAAUGUUCUUUGGCAUGAAAACACCAAUGUUCCAUCAAGUAAGAUUCCGAGGUUGUCCUAAAACAUGUAUUGUUCUACGUUACCAACGAAGUUGUUUCCAUCCUAUAAAGUGUCAAAAUGUUCAUUGAUAUACCAAAAGGCUCUUAUUUCAUUGUUGUGAUAUUGAUGAUUCUGAAACAUAUUGUUGAUGUACCAAUGAGUCCUUAUUACAUCGUUAUUGUAUAGAAGGUCUAUUACUUGGUUCCUAUUGAUGUAUCAUUGUUUCAAGGUAUCAAAAAUGUGGUGACGACCGAAAUAACAAUCUCAAAGAUUAAUUGAACUAAGUGAUGAAAGUUCUCUCUUAUCGGGUGGUAUCCCAGGGGCAUAAGCCUAGCAUGGGUCGAUCCCUAUUUCAUGUGUUUAUGGGUGGUAUCCCAGGGGCAUAAGCCUAGCAUGGGUCGAUCCCAGUUGAUAUGUACUGGAGGCAUCCUAAUGGUCACAGUACAGUACAGUAAUGAUUACAAAGACGAUAAGAACGAAGGUAAAGUGAUUGAAUAAAUACAAUGUACAGGUUGUCACAAGUUCUAGUAAGUGUGGUCCACUCCUAUUACGACUUAUUCACUUGUUUCUGAUUUCUAUUGAGCUCCUAUAUCAUAUGUGAUUAUUUACAGCUUUACAUACUCAGUACAUAUUUCGUACUGACGUCCCUCACGGGGGACCUGCAUUUCAUGCUGCAGGCACAGGUACCUCAACUCAUACACCGCACAAGUAGGAGCCAGGUCAUACAGCUAUUGUUGGUGAGCUCCAGUUUGCUUCGGAGCUUUCCGAGUCGGUUCCUUAUGUUUUGUUAUUGUACAUGAGUCACGUGUGGGCGGGGGUUUGUCCCGACCCUAGUUAUGUCAUGUAUAUCCUAGAGGCUUUGUAGACAUAAGGAAGGG
rnacentral:lncRNA from 1 species